UCCCUGGUAGCUCAGAUGGUAGAGUGUCUGCCUGCAGUGCAGGAGACCUGGGUUCGAUCCCCAGGUCAGGAAU